GAUGAAGAACGCAGCGAAAUGCGAUAAGUAAUGUGAAUUGCAGAAUUCAGUGAAUCAUCGAAUCUUUGAACGCACAUUGCGCCCCCUGGUAUUCCGGGGGGCAUGCCUGUUCGAGCGUCAUUUCACCACUCAAGCCUCGCUUGGUAUUGGGCAACGCGGUCCGCCGCGUGCCUCAAAUCGUCCGGCUGGGACUUCUGUCCCCUAAGCGUUGUGGAAACUAUUCGCUAAAGGGUGUUCGGGAGGCUACGCCGUAAAACAACCCCAUUUCUAAGGUUGACCUCGGAUCAGGUAGGGAUACCCGCUGAACUUAAGCAUAUCAAUAAGCGGAGGA
rnacentral:misc_RNA from 1 species